GACAAAGUGACAGGUGGUGCAUGGUUGUCGUCAGCUCGUGUCGUGAGAUGUUGGGUUAAGUCCCGCAACGAGCGCAACCCUUGAUUUUAGUUGCCAGCAUUUAGUUGGGCACUCUAAAGUGACUGCCGGUGCAAGCCGGAGGAAGGUGGGGAUGACGUCAAAUCAUCAUGCCCCUUAUGACCUGGGCUACACACGUGCUACAAUGGAUAGUACAAAGGGUCGCGAAGCCGCGAGGUGGAGCUAAUCCCAUAAAACUAUUCUCAGUUCGGAUUGUAGGCUGCAACUCGCCUACAUGAAGCCGGAAUCGCUAGUAAUCGUGGAUCAGCAUGCCACGGUGAAUACGUUCCCGGGCCUUGUACACACCGCCCGUCACACCACGAGAGUUUGUAACACCCGAAGUCGGUAGGGUAACCUUUAUGGAGCCAGCCGCCGAAGGUGGGACAGAUAAUUGGGGUGAAGUCGUAACAAGGUAGCCGUAUCGGAAGGUGCGGCUGGAUCACCUCCUUU
rnacentral:rRNA from 1 species